rnacentral:rRNA from 1 species
GAUGAACGCUGGCGGCGUGCCUAAUACAUGCAAGUCGAGCGAACAGACGAGGCGCUUGCUCCUCUGACGUUAGCGGCGGACGGGUGAGUAACACGUGGAUAACCUACCUAUAAGACUGGGAUAACUUCGGGAAACCGGAGCUAAUACCGGAUAAUAUAUUGAACCGCAUGGUUCAAUAGUGAAAGACGGUUUUGCUGUCACUUAUAGAUGGAUCCGCGCCGCAUUAGCUAGUUGGUAAGGUAACGGCUUACCAAGGCAACGAUGCGUAGCCGACCUGAGAGGGUGAUCGGCCACACUGGAGCGGAGACACGGUCCAGACUACUACGGGAGGCAGCAGUAGGGAAUCUUCCGCAAUGGGCGAAAGCCUGACGGAGCAACGCCGCGUGAGUGAUGAAGGUCUUCGGAUCGUAAAACUCUGUUAUUAGGGAAGAACAAAUGUGUAAGUAACUAUGCACGUCUUGACGGUACCUAAUCAGAAAGCCACGGCUAACUACGUG